GGUGCUCCUGCCACUUUAAGGGCCUGGAGCUGGCAGCCUCCAGGUGCCUGAUUAGGGCAGCCAUUUUGGGGCCUAUAUAAACCAGGCAGUUUGGCUGCAGGAGGUCAGGUAGCAACAUUGUCUGGCCUUAGGGCUGCUGUGUACAACUUGGAGAAGAUCUGCGACUUCCCUAUUGAGCCAAGAUGGCCUCCUGGCCCUUGCGUCACCUUUUUUUGCGUACAGAUGAAAGACGUAUACCUUCCCAUGGUGCAACCUCUGAGUAGCUGAAGAGUCCAUUCCACAGCAAAAUGAAAUACAUCAUCAAGACAAGUUCAGAACGGAUACAGUCAAUUGACAGGCACCCACCUGUGGGCCGGAUUCAAUUAGUUGGCCACCUGGAUCUGCACCACGGGCCAUAUUUUGCCCACCCCCAUUGUAGAGCCUCUGUGGAUGGCCAGGUCCCAGAGCAGGAGCUGACUGAUCAGCCUGAGUCCUCCUUUGAUGUCCUCCAGGUGUGUCUCCUGGCUGCAGACAAUGUGUGCACCUGGCUAGGGGGAUGUGCACUUUAGGCCAUAGGGAUAUGAGCACACCUGGCCAUGAGGGCUGCGUAUGCCCAGCUAUAAGGGAUGUCUGCAUGGGUCCUCACAGGGAGACUGGGGCUUAGCCAAGCAGUGGAGUCAAGGCUGUGGAAAAAUUGGCUUUGCAUGAAGACUGCAUUUUACCAGCUUUCAAGCAAACAGAAAUCCCUUGAGAGAGGACUGGGCCUCAUUUCUACACAGUCCUUGCUCCUUCUGUGAGGGGCCCAGCACCAGCUGCAAGAAAGAGGUAGAACCCUGGGCUGGAGGCAGCCAUGGGCCAACCUGUUCCCUCCUGGGCCCAUGGGUAGGGAUGGCUUGUUCUCUAAAGCAGGAAGCUGAAAUCCUGGUCCCUGACUUGCAUGCCUGGCUGGUCUCUCUAAGCUCUAUAACCAGCCCAUUGGGGAGCUCCUGGCCUUCAGGAUGCAGGCAGUAAGCUUCUCUGGCUCAGCAGCAUCUCCUGUCAAAGUCUUUGCUUUUCCUUGGCUGUGCUGAACACACUGGAGAAAAGCUGUCCUCUGUGCUGCUAUUUCAUGCUCCAUAGUAUUAUUCUUAGGAUCCUGGGUUAAACUUCAGUAAGGGAGGCUGGUCUGCCUGCCAGCCAGGCCCCAUGGCAAGGCAGUCUCCAGGAGGCUAAGUCUGAACUGGUGGUUCCCAGCUACUUUUGCCAGAGCAACCUCCUGCUGCUGGCAUUCCCACCAGUACCAGGGCUAGCAGGACUGAGCCCUCCACCCUUAUUCAGAGCUGCCUAGGCUCUGUAUCCCAGCAACAGGGCUCCAGGGGAAGGAACUGAGUAUUGAACCUGCUGGAGUGCUAGCUCACGAGAAAGGCUGACAGGCUGGGAGCUACACUGGGCAGGUGGGCCGCAUAUCCCAAGCUCAGUGUGGAUGAGUUUGGACUGCAGGGUGGCUUCAGCAGAGUGUGAUCAUACCCAAGACUUGGUUUUGUGGUAAGUCAAGCUCACAGGCUUUAUCAGUUGUCUACUAAUGGGAUUUUGCACUGGGUUUGUUUCAAGAGCGCCUGGGAGGGUAGUGGUCAGGCAAAGCAGCUGUGUGCUCCGUGGCUUGUCUGUCCCCAGGCUGGAACACAGGAGAGAAGCAGGGAGCUCAUGUAGGACACCCAGAAUCCCUUGUAGGACAGCAGAGAUAGCAAGGGGAUUUGGAGCAGAAGCUCUUGAAUGAAGACAGGCCCUGUGGCGCGCAUGCUCGCUCUCUCUCUCUCUCUCUCAAAAUUUUAUUAUAUAUAUAUAUAUAUAUAUAUAUAUAUAUAUAUAUAUAUAUAUAUAUGGUUAUGACUCACCAGCCUGUGAUGUUUGGUAUCACCACUAGAGAAGCCCCAAGCCUUAGCCCUGAUGCACAGUCCCGGGCUGAACUGGUCCCCACUCUCCAGUGCUUGGGGCAACAUAGCAUAUGUCCCCGACUGGUGUGUGGCCUUGUCGUCCCAGCCUCUAGUGACAUGUGCACAUGGCUGCUACUGGAGCACCAUGCUGAGGGGAAACAGCAGAAGAGACUACAGAGAGCUUUGCCAGAGGCCAGUCACAGGGGAGGUGGGAGUGCAAGUGCAGGAUAGGAAUGUAUUGCCUCCCAGUUGUCCCUCCUGUUUCUGCUGCUCUGGUUGCUGCCUUGGGCACUCCUUAUUCUCUAAACACUGCAGGUCUUGGCUCUGGCAUAGGUAAGUGAGGUGCUAACAGGACAGAGGACAUAGACCUGGUUCUGGAAAAAGUAUGCUGGGCUCCCACUGCUGCUUCUGGGAUAAGGAGUGAGGGGAAAAAGGGGCUGGGGCAGCAGCACUUCUUCUCCAUCCCUAGUCUCAUGUGGCAUGGCUGGAGGAACCUAGAAAACAACUGACCCACAUGUCAUGCACUGGAGAGCCAUUCCCACCUCGCUGAAGCCUCUGCCCCUUAGCCCCAGGACAGGCAUCACCAGUGCCAGGGAUGGAGCAUUGCCCUUAGCAUAUGGGAGUCAGGUUCCAAAGUUUCCACUUCUGUUGUUUUAGGGUUUUUCCAUAUUGUAGGUGUCUGGGGAACCCCUGCAAGUUAUUUGCUCCUAUGUGAACAUGUCAGACUGUCUAGGGUCCUUCCUUCUCCAAGCAUAUUUGCUAAGCACUUUGGGUUCAUUCAGGCUCUCCAACAGCCCUGCUGGUUCUGUCUCCCAAGUCCUCUUUGACUCCACAUCCAUCCCGUGAAGGUCCAUAUGCUGCAUGCAAGUGCCAGGAAGUGCUGGUGGUGCAACCAGACACGACUGUUGGGAGAAAUAAAAGCACACAUACCCCAACUUCUCCUGGUUAAGGAAAAAGGGAAGAAAAUGCCAUUUUGUGUUUUAAUUGGGUUUUUUUUAUUAUUAUAUAAAAUUCGGGUUUCUUGUCUAAAUGUUUCAAUCUGAAUUCUGCAUUCCUAUGUAUUUUUGAAGACAUCAGUGGGUUAAUUCAAGAAAUUUGAAGAGGAAACAUGGUUUGGUACCAAGGUCCCUGUGAAGCAUGAUGGGCACCAAUUGGGCUCAGUCCCCAGGGCAUCUGCAGCCUGUGCCCCCACCCCAGCUGAAGCCUAGCUGAGGACAAUAUGACCUGGAGUUCUCCCAGGGGUAUUAACCCCAACUCCAGAGAACAGUGGUGGGGGAAAAUGCCAAAUCCCCGCAGAAUCUGCUAUAGCCAAGAGCUUUAGAGUGGCUGUAGGCUCUCCUGAAAAACAGUACCCAAUUCCAAAGUCUGAUCCAGCUUCUGCUCAACAAGUCAUGCUGGGAGACAAGCUUGAACAGAAUACCACAUUACUGCAAGAACCAUUGUGAGCUAUGUGAGCUGAGGACUCCCCCUUCUGGCCACUACAGGACACAAAUCUGUCCAAGAGCUGCAUCCCAUGCUAUGAACUGCUUCACAGCUGGUCCCUGCCUGGCUGCCCAAUCUGUCCCAAUCCUUCCACCUUCUGGCCCUCUGCCAUGAUUGUUUUCCAGUCCCACAGCUAGCAAGGAGGUUUGCUAACACUCCAUCCCUACCUCCAAGACCAGUCCACAUUCCAGAGCAUUACUCGUUCACAUGGCCCUGCAGUGCCUCUAAGGAAGAGGCACUGGGCCUGGAGGCUACUGGACACAUGGACCCUGUGCUUCCCUUGGGCUCCAUCCUGUGCUGGCACCACACAGGAACUCCAAGACCCAGCCUGGACUCCACAGUCACAACCAC